GUGGGGAAUUUUGGACAAUGGGCGCAAGCCUGAUCCAGCAAUGCCGCGUGCAGGAAGAAGGCCUUCGGGUUGUAAACUGCUUUUGUACGGAACGAAACGGUCCUGGUUAAUACCUGGGGCUAAUGACGGUACCGUAAGAAUAAGCACCGGCUAACUACGUGCCAGCAGCCGCGGUAAUACGUAGGGUGCAAGCGUUCAUCGGAAUUACUGGGCGUAAAGCGUGCGCAGGCGGUUUUGUAAGACAGGCGUGAAAUCCCCGGGCUCAACCUGGGAAUUGCGCUUGUGACUGCAAGGCUGGAGUGCGGCAGAGGGGGAUGGAAUUCCGCGUGUAGCAGUGAAAUGCGUAGAUAUGCGGAGGAACACCGAUGGCGAAGGCAAUCCCCUGGGCCUGCACUGACGCUCAUGCACGAAAGCGUGGGGAGCAAACAGGAUUAGAUACCCGGGUAGUCC
rnacentral:rRNA from 1 species